GAUGAACGCUGGCGGCGUGCCUAAUACAUGCAAGUCGAGCGGACGGACGAUAAGCUUGCUUCUCUGAUGUUAGCGGCGGACGGGUGAGUAACGCGUGGAUCACCUACCUAUAUGUCUGGGAUCACUUCGGGAAACCGUGUCUAAUACCGGAUAAUAUUUUGAACCGCAUGGUUCAAAGGUGAAUGACGGCCUUGCUGUCACUUAUAGCUGGAUCCGCGCUGCAUUAGAUAGUUGGUAAGGUAACGGCUUACCAAGGCAACGAUGCAUAGCCGAGCUGAGAGGGUGAUCGGCCACACUGGAACUGAGACACGGUCCAUACUCCUACGGGAGGCAGCAGUAGGGAAUCUUCCGCAAUGGGCGAAAGCCUGACGCAGCAACGCCGCGUGAGUGAUGAAGGUCCUCGGAUCGUAAAGCCCUGUUAUUGGGGAAGAAAAUAUGUGGAAUUAAACGUGGCCAUCUUGACGGUACCUAAUCAAAAAGCCACGGCUAACUACGUG
rnacentral:rRNA from 1 species